GCUUAAUAUGUGAAUGUUUUUCCAAUUGACGGCUGAAGAGGACCCUAGUUGGUCCUAGAACAGCCUGAGAUAGAGGGGUUUUAAUCGGUAGGUCCGAGGACUUCUUCCUCGGAAAUCCGACACUACCUAGUCGUACGGACGGCUGGGUGUCUUUUGAAGAUUUCCCCUCUUC
rfam:Agrilus planipennis Contig52272, whole genome shotgun sequence.